UCUCCCAGCGGGCCUCCCCCCGGGACUGUGCACCGCCGUGGCCAGCAAGGGCCCUCAGCUUCUCUAAAUAGGGAUCCUCCUGCAGCCCUGUCUGGAAUUCAGCUGCUGGGUUUGAAGGUACAGCACUGGUUGGCGGUGCCUCAGUUUCCCCACCUUCGGACAGAGGCUCUGGCCCAGCCCUGUUGAUCCCUACCCUUGGUGCUUCGGUCCUCCAUUUCGGGAGGUCCCGCAUCCCUCGCUGACUCUGGCUCCGGGUAAGGACCAGGGCACUCUGAGUGCCAUCUGGCCAGUUCUCCAAGUCAUUACCCAUUAGGACCUCGGUAGGCAGGUGAUCAUGCACCCCAAACUCUUUGGGUCCCUUCUUAGCCCCCCAUUUCAGGUGUAUCUUUGCUACAGGCACCUUGGCGGGGGGGCCCAAACAGGGUCAUGUAGGCAUCGGGCACUAGCUGGUCUGGGUCCAUCACCUUGGACUGCACCAGCGUCACUUCUGCACUCGUGUCCCAGAACCCCUGGACAUGUCUUCCCCCCACCUCAAUGGGGAUGAUGGGGUGAUUGUCCCCCCAGGGCCUGUCCCCCGCUCACCCAGUGGAUUGAGUAUGGGUGUUCUGGAGCUGACCUGGCCUGAUGGUCCCCUCCCCCUGGCACAGCCCUAGCAACUGCGGCCCACUGGACCGGCAGUGCCCCCUCUCGGUGGGCUUCCACCCAGUUGACACCCCACGGGUUCUGCUUGGCCGCCAUUUCCUUCAUCUUCAGGCAUUGCGCCACCUUGUGUCCCUUUUGGCCACAGUAAUUACAUUUCAAGUCCCAUGAGGGGGGUCAGCGUGCCCCGACGUUCACGGGCACCCCUGGGUUGGGCUUCCCGGAGUUCCACCUUUGAGAGGUCUCUGGGUGACUCCCCUUCUGAGUCUCCGAUGUGGGUCUCCCUCCUGCCCCCGAUCUGCUGUCCACAACCUCAUCUGCCGGUGCACCUGCACUGCGCAGAUCUUUGGGCUUCAGUCUCAAGAGGUCGGGUGUGCAUUGCUCCCUUUGGCUGUUCAAGUCCCCAGGUGUCCAGUUUGAGAGAACUCACUGAGGGGAGCUCAUGGAAUGAGGCAGGGGUGCUGAAGACUCAGAGGUGAGGCCCCAGGAGGCGGUGAAGCCAAGGGGUUUACCCCAGUGAAACAGUGGAACCCUAAGGGGGUAACACUCAAAGGGGGUCUCCCAGGGACAGUUACAGAGCUGUGAGAGAGCACUGGACCUGUGAAUCCAUCACACCUUUGUCUACUAGACUGAACAGCCCAUUAUUAAAUAUUUAUUCUCCGUGUAAACAGAUUGAGCUCCAUGAUUCUAUCAAUAUGGCAUGUUCUCCAAUCCUUUCAUCACUCUUGUGGCUCUUCUCUGAUCCCUCUCCAAUUGUGGGCACCGGACCUGGACACAGGAUUCCAGCAGCGGUCGCACCAGUGCCAAAUACAGAGGGAAAAUAACCUCUCUAACAACUGGAGAUUGCCCGGUUUGUACAUCCCAGGAUGGCAUUAGUCCUUUUGGCCCCAGCAUUUCACUUCGAGUCUCAUUCAGCUGAUUAUCCACCAUGACCUCCAAGCCCUUUUCAGAGUCUCUGCUUCCCAGGAUGGAGUCCACCACCGUGGCACUGUGCGGCAUACGUUGCAGGCCACCUGGGUGCAGGAGAUCGAGUAGGGUGAAGGGAGGAGCAACCCUGAGCAUCUGCCAUCCAGCUCCAUCCGAUCUAGAGCAAUUCCAGGAUGGAGCGAAUAAGGCGGAUGCUCAGGAGGAAGGCCGGGCAGGUGGCUCCAGAGCCAGCAGGAAACAUCAGCCAGCCUUCCCAGGAGGAGAGCAACCCCUCUGUCCCCGCGGGCGGGGAAGAGGCUUGUGGCCAGGGGAAGGAGAGGAGCUGCGUCGCAUGCUGGAGGAGGAGGAAGACACCAGCUCCCUUAGCUGACCCUGAGGCACCUUCUGGGCCGAAAUGGAGGUGGCCCCGGGUUCAGCUAUGGAGGAGAGAGCCAGGAGAGGGCAGGAGCCAGGGAAGGCAGCUCUGGGGCUUCCUUGGCAGGACGCCAAGAUGCCAGAAGCUGCACCCCAGGGCCCAGCAGGAGCCGUCCACCACCAUGGCAACUGAGGAGCCUCCCGCCAGCCCGACCCUGGUCCCCGAGGAGCCUCCCGCCAGCCCCACCCUGGCCCCUGAGGAGCCUCCCG